rnacentral:rRNA from 1 species
CAAGGAUUCCCCUAGUAACGGCGAGUGAAGCGGGAAGAGCUCAAAUUUGAAAUCUGGCUKGUCUUCGGCCGUCCGAGUUGUAGUUUCGAGAAGCGUUUUCCGCGUCGGACCGUGUACAAGUCCCUUGGAACAGGGCGUCGUAGAGGGUGAGAAUCCCGUCUUUGACACGGACUGCCGGUGCUCUGUGAUGCGCUCUCAAAGAGUCGAGUUGUUUGGGAAUGCAGCUCAAAAUGGGUGGUAAAUUCCAUCUAAAGCUAAAUAUUGGCGAAAGACCGAUAGCGAACAAGUACCGUGAGGGAAAGAUGAAAAGCACUUUGGAAAGAGAGUUAAACAGUACGUGAAAUUGUUGAAAGGGAAACGCUUGAAGUCAGUCGCGUCUCUCGGGACUCAGCCUUGCUCUUCUGCUUGGUGCACUUCCCGAGGCGACGGGCCAGCAUCGAUUUCGACCGUCGGAGAAAGGCUUUGGGAACGUGGCACCUCCGGGUGUGUUAUAGCCCAUGGUCGUAUGCGACGGCUGGGAUCGAGGUUCGCAGCACGCCUUCAUUGGCCGGGGUUCGCCCACGUAACGUGCUUAGGAUGCUGGCGUAAUGGCUUUAAACGACCCGUCUUGAAUCACGGACCAAGGAGUUUAACAUGCCUGCGAGUGUUUGGUUUGGAAAACCCGGACGCGUAAUGAAAUUGAAAGGUUGGGACCUCUGUCGUGG